rnacentral:rRNA from 1 species
GGCCAGACUCCUACGGGAGGCAGCAGUGGGGAAUAUUGGACAAUGGGGGGAACCCUGAUCCAGCGACGCCGCGUGAGUGAAGAAGUAUUUCGGUAUGUAAAGCUCUAUCAGCAGGGAAGAAAGAAAUGACGGUACCUGACUAAGAAGCCCCGGCUAACUACGUGCCAGCAGCCGCGGUAAUACGUAGGGGGCAAGCGUUAUCCGGAUUUACUGGGUGUAAAGGGAGCGCAGGCGGCACGGCAAGCCUGAUGUGAAAGCCCGCGGCCCAACCGCGGGACUGCAUUGGGAACUACCGGGCUGGGGUGCCGGAGAGGUAGGCGGAAUUCCUAGUGUAGCGGUGAAAUGCGUAGAUAUUAGGAGGAACACCAGUGGCGAAGGCGGCCUACUGGACGGUGACUGACGCUGAGGCUCGAAAGCGUGGGGAGCAAACAGGAUUAGAUACCCCAGUACGC